GUGACUUCAGAAUGAAAAUAGGACUAAAGUUUGACUUUGUGAGUGUGUACCAGGAAGAACACAGAGUGUGAGUAAAGCACGCAGGAGGAGGAUGUGGUGAUUGAAGACUUUGAGGAAGAUUCAGAGGCUGAAGGCAGCGGAGGCGAGGAUGACAUCAGGGAACUUCGGGCCAAGAAGCUGGCUCUGGCCAGGAAGAUAGCUGAGCAGCAGCGUCGCCAGGAAAAGAUCCAGGCUGUCCUAGAGGACCACAGUCAGAUGAGGCAGAUGGAGCUCGAAAUCAGACCUUUGUUCCUCGUACCAGACACCAACGGCUUCAUUGACCACCUGGCCAGUCUGGCGCGGCUGCUGGAGAGCAGGAAGUACAUCCUGGUGGUGCCCCUCAUCGUGAUCAAUGAGCUGGACGGCCUGGCCAAGGGGCAGGAGACAGACCACCGGGCUGGGGGCUACGCCCGUGUGGUACAAGAAAAGGCCCGCAAGUCCAUCGAGUUCCUCGAGCAGCGAUUCGAGAGUCGGGACUCUUGCCUGCGAGCCCUGACCAGCCGUGGCAAUGAACUCGAAUCCAUCGCCUUCCGCAGUGAGGACAUCACUGGCCAGCUGGGUAACAACGAUGAUCUCAUCCUCUCCUGCUGCCUCCACUACUGCAAAGACAAGGCCAAGGACUUUAUGCCUACCAGCAAAGAGGAGCCAAUCCGGCUACUGCGGGAGGUGGUGCUGUUGACAGAUGACCGGAACCUGCGUGUGAAGGCGCUCACAAGGAAUGUUCCUGUACGGGACAUCCCAGCCUUCCUCACAUGGGCUCAAGUGGGCUGAGGGAGCCACACUGGGGCCCCCCCCGUGGAACCGUUCCUGAAAGGCCACCAGGCGCCCAGUGUAGCACGGAAGAUGCCCACGUGCCUGAGCCACCAAUCCACCCAGACAAUAAACCAUCCUCUUCCAACGCACGCCGUGGCCAUGCUGUGGGGGAGCUGCUCCUCACAGAGCCCCUCCCAAGGAUUGGGCAGAAGCUGCUGGGACCCUCCUGGGCUGCCAGGAUUUAGCAGGGAGGUGGCUGGCUACAGCAACAGCAGCUGGGCAAGCCAGAUAGGCCGCCCAUGCUCUCAGCCUUUCUCCCUCCCCCGUCUCAUUCCAAGGCUGGGGGAGGGCCUUCUCGCCUGGGGACGCAGCCACUUUCUCCAGUGGAGACAGGGCAGGGGUCCAGAGUUUCCGUCAGAUGCAGUGAAAUCACAGGUCCCUUUCAUCUUCAGAACCUCUGUCCUGAAUGUGUUCAAGAGGCUUUGGUUAUGUCAGGAAGAAGUGCCCAGGGUGUAUGUCCCCAGUUCCCCCGAGGUCUGGACUCGCCCAUGGACCCAAGUUGGCUUUUAGACACCAUGUCCCUAACAGCAGCCCUGGGCCCCCACCUCUUCUACCAUCCACCCCAGACUUACCACACGCCCUUCCUGCUGCUCUUCUUCCUGCCCUUAUCAACCUGGGUCCCUCACACUUUGCCAGUUGCUUCCCCGUGGACAGUCAUGAGUCUAGAGGAAAGGGGCAUCUGGUCUCAGGCCCGUGCUCUCAGGUGGCCUCCACCUGCUCCCUCUCUCCUCACUGGCCUUUCAGUCUAGCUUCCUCUUCAGGAAAUGUCCUGACUCUCCUCAGCUCCCCCUUCACCCCUCCUUGCCCACCUACCCUCCCUCCAGAAUAGCUCCUCAUCCUCCUUCCCCUUCUAGUUGAUCCUUUUCACCUCCCUGAUCCCCUUCAUUUCUUCACCGCGGUUCCUCGUCAUAGGGGUUCUCACUCUGAACUUUCCCUCUCUACUACCCAUGGCAGGAACCUAGUACAGCUCUCACACCCAGGGCCUUCCACCCUCGGCUCCUGUGCUGGGAGAAACUUCCAGGCAUGGACAGCCCAGCCUGAGGCAUUCCAGUGCCUGGGGCAACGUCGCCUAACCUGGUUUCUAGCUUUGCCCUCACUUCCCGGAAAAACUGACACAGGGGCCCCUUCCUUGCCCCUUUAGCUGGUACCUCAGUGGGGAGGCUUCCUUACCAAGAAUGAGUUCCUGAAAUCCAGGGCCAGAGGUAAGGGCAACUUAGGGGAAGACAGGGUUUUUGAUGGAGCCAGGGGCAGAUCUUAAUGGGACCAGUGGGGGAUACCCCAGAGCCCAUGGCCUGACUGCACAGCCUGCCUGGAGGAUGGGUGCACAGCUCUGCCCUCCCUGAGGCCCAGGACUAUGCCAGAAGCGAUGGGGUACCGUGCAGGGGAGCCAAGGCCAAUAGUUUGGGGGUGGGAGUCCCCUAGAGUCUCAGAAGACUGGGCUCUUUGGAGUACAGGGUCCCCGGCCUCUCCUUUAAGAUUCUCUCCCCAGCUAGAAGGCCGAUGACUGGGUGGUCGGGAGGGAGACCCAUCUCUCCUUUCUGUCCCGUUUGCAGCAUUGGUUUU
rnacentral:sRNA from 1 species